GUGCUCGCUUCGGCAGCACAUAUACUAAAAUUGGAACGAUACAGAGAUUAGCAUGGCCCCUGCACAAGGAUGACACGCAAAUUCGUGAAGCAUUCCAUAUUUUU